rnacentral:lncRNA from 1 species
UCCUUGCUAUUGUUCCAGCAAAGUAUCCUGAGAAAAACCUAAAGACUUAGUUCUUGGUCAAGGAGCAUUAAGCCUUUUGGGGCUUGCACAGGACUCUACCGUAGUAUCAUGUAUAACAAAAACUAGUAUUGAAGACUCAGCCUGGCCGAAUUUUCUUGCUAGCUUUACUUCCUGAUGCUACUGAGGGGAAUAGAGCUACAGAGGAGGUGGGUAGAAGCUGCUUAAGUGGUUUCCUGCUUAUAAUAUUUCUUUACAUGUAUGCUUACUCACUUCAAAAUAUUUGCAUUUAGGUACGAAAAGAAUUGAGCUCAUUAAUUCUUGCCCUCACCAAUGAGUUAGUGAACUGAGAGAAGUAAAUGUGGCGCAGACAAUUUCAUUCCCAUGCUCAGAUGAAAUGCUAAUUCUGGAACCAGUUGUGCUGCCUGCCAAAAGUCUCACACAAUUCCACUGUGGAUCUUUAUAGGCCUUGGGCCUCAGGUGAAGGCCCUCAGAACCCGCAUGCCCUCACUCCUGGUCUUCUCAGAGGUGACAGACCUACUGCUUUCUACACCAGGCAUCCUAUAAUGAUAGUUUUGUGUUGCCAUCUGGAACAUAAAGACUGAUUUUCAAAGUAUAAAGAAGCUAUUGCUGUAUGGAAAGGUCAUUUAUAAGAACAAUAACAGAAGAAACGGUGUCUGGGUUGUAAAAUGCUGAGUUAUUGAAUAUGUUUCCUAGUAAAAAAAAAAAA